UCACCCAAGGGGACCUUCGCUCCCGAAAUCCGCUUCCGCGUCGGCAGGAAAUUACGCACGCGGGGCGGGGCCUUAGUCAGGGAGAGGCGGGGCGGAGCAGCGUGGGCGAGGCGUGAGCUUUCCCGCCCCGCCCCCGGCCGUUUCCGGGUCGGCCCCUACCGCGGCCAGGCACACCUCCAGUCUCAGCGUUUGGGUGUGUUUGAUUCGUUUGGUGUCUGGGGAGUCGGGCUGCUUCCUCGGGGCUUCAAGUUAAAUGUUUCGGACAACUCCAGCAGGUCAAGGAAUACUUCCCUGGGUCUCUUCAGAUGGAAAAAGAGAUUCCUGGUCCCUGAAGAGCUGUUGUAAAGUGAGCAGAGCCUCACUAAGAUCAAUGGAAUCCUCAUCUGGAACUCACCUACUCACAGCAGUGGCGAUAGUGGUACUCCUGCCUCAUCACUGUGUCAUGAAUUUUGAAACAACAACAACGACAGAAACAAGAGUGUCGUGGGUCUUAAUUUCUGGCAAUUGAAAGUCUAGAGAAGCACAGAAAAACUUCUCCUUUCUGGAAUCCUCUGAUGAUCACAAGAGUCAAAGAAUUUUAAGGUCUAAAAUAGAU